rnacentral:rRNA from 1 species
AUUCCAAUCGAACUCGGAGAUAGCUGGUUCUCCCCGAAAUAGCUUUAGGGCUAGCCUCGAUUUAGAUUACCGGGGGUAGAGCACUGAAUGGGCUAGGGGGCCACAAAGCUUACCGAACCCUAUCAAACUUCGAAUACCGGAUAAUUGAUGAUCGGGAGUCAGACAGUGUGAGAUAAGUUUCAUUGUCGAAAGGGAAACAGCCCAGAUCUACGACUAAGGUCCCAAAGUUCAAGUUAAGUGGAAAAGGAUGUGCAAUUGCGUAGACAACCAGGAUGUUGGCUUAGUAGCAGCCAUUCAUUCAAAGAGUGCGUAAUAGCUCACUGGUCGAGUGAUUGUGCGCCGAAAAUGUAACGGGGCUAAACUUGACACCGAAGUCUAGGCAGAAGGAAACUUCUGGGUAGGGGAGCAACGUGUACGGGCAGAAGCAGAAGCGGAAGCGACUGUGGACUGUACAGGAGAGAGAAUGCCGGCAUGAGUAGCGAGAGCAAAGUGAGAAUCUUUGCCGUCGAAAGCCUAAGGUUUCCUGAGGAAGGCUCGUCCUCUCAGGGUAAGUCGGGACCUAAGCCGAGGACAAUAGUCGUAGGCGAUGGACAAUCGGUUAAUAUUCCGAUACCGCCGAGCAACCGGAUGCAGUGACACAGAAGGAUAGGCAGAGCGUGGCGAUGGUAGACCACGUCCAAGCAGUGAGGCUGUUGUGUAGUGAAGUACGCACAACGUAAGGCUGGGCUGUGAUGGGGAACGAUUACGAUCGGUAAGCUGCUGAAUUCACGCUGGCGAGAAAAGCUGCUACGAAGCGAAGGCGCCCGUACCGCAAACCGACACAGGUAGGCGAGGAGAGAAUCCUAAGACGAGCGGGAGAACCCUUGUUAAGGAACUCGGCAAAAUGACUCCGUAACUUAGGGAGAAGGAGUGCCCAGGAAUGGGCCGCAGAGAAUAGACCCAAGCGACUGUUUACCAAAAACACAGGUCUGUGCGAAGUAGAGAUACGACGUAUACGGGCUGACACCUGCCCAGUGCCGGAAGGUUAAGGGGAAAUGUUAGGGCAACCGAAGCAUGGAACUUAAGCCCCGGUGAACGGCGGCCGUAACUAUAACGGUCCUAAGGUAGCGAAAUUCCUUGUCGGGUAAG